rnacentral:rRNA from 1 species
GACGAACGCUGGCGGCGUGCCUAAUACAUGCAAGUCGAACGAGAGCAACCGGUGCUUGCGCUGGUCAAUCUAGUGGCGAACGGGUGAGUAACACGUGGGUCACCUGCCCAUCAGAGGGGGAUAACAUCCGGAAACGGAUGCUAAAACCGCAUAGGUCUUCGAACCGCAUGGUUUGAAGAGGAAAAGAGGCGCAAGCUUCUGCUGAUGGAUGGACCCGCGGUGCAUUAGCUAGUUGGUGAGGUAACGGCUCACCAAGGCCGGGAUGCAUAGCCGACCUGAGAGGGUGAUCGGCCACAUUGGGACUGAGACACGGCCCAAACUCCUACGGGAGGCAGCAGUAGGGAAUCUUCCGCAAUGGACGCAAGUCUGACGGAGCAACGCCGCGUGAGUGAAGAAGGUUUUCGGAUCGUAAAACUCUGUUGUUAGAGAAGAACAAGUGCUAGAGUAACUGUUAGCGCCUUGACGGUAUCUAACCAGAAAGCCACGGCUAACUACGUG